UGAGACCGGCGCACGGGUGCGUAACGCGUAUGCAAUCUGCCUUAUACAGGGGAAUAGCCCAGAGAAAUUUGGAUUAAUGCCCCAUGGUGUUAUAGAAUCGCAUGGUUUUAUAGCUAAAGUUCCAACGGUAUAAGAUGAGCAUGCGUCCCAUUAGUUAGUUGGUAAGGUAACGGCUUACCAAGACGAUGAUGGGUAGGGGUCCUGAGAGGGAGAUCCCCUACACUGGUACUGAGACACGGACCAGACUCCUACGGGAGGCAGCAGUGAGGAAUAUUGGUCAAUGGGCGCAAGCCUGAACCAGCCAUGCCGCGUGCAGGAAGAAGCAUCUAUGGUGUGUAAACUGCUUUUAUACAGGAAGAAACAACGCUACGUGUAGCGUCUUGACGGUACUGUAAGAAUAAGGAUCGGCUAACUCCGUGCCAGCAGCCGCGGUAAUACGGAGGAUCCAAGCGCUAUCCGGAAUCAUUGGGUUUAAAGGGUCCGUAGGCGGUUUAAUAAGUCAGUGGUGAAAUCUGGUCGCUCAACGAUCAA
rnacentral:rRNA from 1 species